AUUGAACGCUGGCAGCAUGCCUUACACAUGCAAGUCGAACGGCAGCACGGGAGCAAUCCUGGUGGCGAGUGGCGAACGGGUGAGUAAUACAUCGGAACGUGCCCAAUCGUGGGGGAUAACGCAGCGAAAGCUGUGCUAAUACCGCAUACGAUCUACGGAUGAAAGCAGGGGAUCGCAAGACCUUGCGCGAAUGGAGCGGCCGAUGGCAGAUUAGGUAGUUGGUGAGGUAAAGGCUCACCAAGCCGUCGAUCUGUAGCUGGUCUGAGAGGACAACCAGCCACACUGGGACUGAGACACGGCCCAGACUCCUACGGGAGGCAGCAGUGGGGAAUUUUGGACAGUGGGCGAAAGCCUGAUCCAGCCAUGCCGCGUGCAGGAUGAAGGCCUUCGGGUUGUAAACUGCUUUUGUACGGAACGAAACGGCCUUUUCUAAUAAAGAGGGCUAAUGACGGUACCGUAAGAAUAAGCACCGGCUAACUACGUGCCAGCAGCCGCGGUAAUACGUAGGGUGCAAGCGUUAAUCGGAAUUACUGGGCGUAAAGCGUGCGCAGGCGGUUAUGUAAGACAGUUGUGAAAUCCCCGGGCUCAACCUGGGAACUGCAUCUGUGACUGCAUAGCUAGAGUACGGUAGAGGGGGAUGGAAUUCCGCGUGUAGCAGUGAAAUGCGUAGAUAUGCGGAGGAACACCGAUGGCGAAGGCAAUCCCCUGGACCUGUACUGACGCUCAUGCACGAAAGCGUGGGGAGCAAACAGG
rnacentral:rRNA from 1 species